CUUGUGAACUCAGGCGAGUUCCCGGAAACAAAGUUCUUUAAGAUUUUUAGCGAGAUGGGGCGACGCGUGUGACUUUUGCAUUGGUUAGCGUUCUCAUUGGUUUUUAGCAUUUUUCAAGUGAGGAAGAACUGUAGAUUUUCUGAGAAAAUCACUGCUAAAUCAUGAUCAAACGAUGCUCAAUCUCCAAUUGCAAUGUGCCAGCAAAUACCCAAUUCAGAACAGACCUCUUAGCAUCAACCACAGAGGACUUAAUUCCUUGUUUCAAUUUGAAUAUUGCGAACCACCGUCACUAUAUAAAUUGUGUCACUUCUUCUGGUUUCUUCUUCUCUUCCUAUAACAAAAAAAAAUCAGAAAUCCCAAACAAAAAAAACCAAAAAUAAAAAAACAAAAGGGGUAAAGAGCAAAGCAAACCUCGCCCAUUGACGUUCUUGGAUAUGGAUAGAGGUAGUUGAUA
rnacentral:lncRNA from 1 species